CAAGAUGUUCUUUUGGGUUUUUCUGUAUGAUGUUAUGGAAACCCUGAAGGAACAUUUUGGU
ensembl:miRNA